GUUCUUUGGCUCUUGUGUGAGUGGAUGGUGACACCAGGCCAGCUGGGGAUUCUUCCCAGGCUGGGCUCACAGGCUGGGGCUGGGCACACGGAGCAGCUGCGGGAAAAGGAUCUGGACACCAGCCCCCCAGCGUGUCACCGGCAGGAAGGUGAGGUGGGAACAGAGUGACGUCCAUGCAUGUUCAGAGACAAGGUUUCCCUACGUUGCCCAGACUGGUCUUGAACUCCUAGCCUCAAGCAGUCCUUCUGCCUCAGCCUCCCAAUGUGCUGGGAUUACAGGCAUGAGCCACUGCACUUGACCAAGGGACUAAGCCAGUGGAUCACAAACAUCCUGGAGAGCAGUGACUCUGUGAUUCCAUCACAAGAAUAUGAAGGACUGAGAAGAUCUCCAGCUCUGCCCAUUGCACCUUCCCAUUGAGAAGCAGCAUGGCACCCUGGUGGCAGGGGCUGAUACUCAGCCGGGCCAGGGUGCUCUCCUGUUAACCAUAACCAAGCUCACAGGACAUGGGAUGAGCCCACUGUGUGACACAGGGAGCGGGACACAGUCUGUUAAGUCUUGCACAGCCAUGCUCUGCCACGCAGGCAGGCCUUUCCUUGGCCUCCCUCUCCCUGUUCGUGCUCAUGUGAACAUCCACCUACGUGGAUAGACUGGGCUUUGGUUCAUUAUUGCUCUGUGAAUUCCUCGAACUUCCGCAUCUGCCCAACCUCCCCCACCCCAUUGUUUUCAUUGUGUUUCACCAAAUGGAAAUUCUAGAGUAAGCAUGUGAGUCCUCUCCCAAACUUGUUCACUGUUGAGAGUGCUAAAAUGCUAACCCCAGAUGCUAACUGAGGGGUAGGGUUACCUUAUCUUUAGAGCACUGCGAAUUGUAUGUUAAGUGGAACUUAAUGAAAAAAUAGUUAAUUGACCAACAUGAAUAUCCCCUGAACAGAAUCUCCCCUGAACAGAAUCCUACAAUGAAACUAAGGGAGAUAAAUAAAGCUGUUUACCUGAAAGCUCUCUCUAAUCAAGAUCCUUUGAAAUUUAUAAAACAUGGUCAAUAUUUGCACUGGACUUUGUAAAA
rnacentral:lncRNA from 1 species